UUGAACGCUGGCGGCGGCCUAACACAUGCAAGUCGAACGGUAGCACAGAGAGCUUGUUCUCCGGUGAUGAGUGGCAGACGGGUGAGUACUGUCAGGGAAACUGCCUGAUGGAGGGGGAUAACUUCUGCCCCCGGUUGCUAAAACCGCAUAACAUCCCAUGACCAAAACCGGGGACCUUCUUCCCUCUUGCCGAUUUAUGUGCCCUGAUAACAUUAUCUAUCAGAUGGGGUAACUGCUCACCUGAUCGACCAUCCCUACCUGGACUGAUAGGAUGACCGACCACAUUGUAACUGAGACAGGGUCCGAACUCCUACCGGAAGUCCUACUGGGGAAUAUUGCACAAUGUCUUCAAGCCUGAUGCAACCCUGCCUCGAGUAUCACCAAGGCCUUCACGUUGGCCCUACUUUCAGCGGGGAGGAAGGCGAUAAGGAAAUAACCUUGUCUAUUGACGAUACCCGCACUAGAAGCACCGCCUAACUCCGUGCCAUACGCCGCGACCCAUACGGAGGGUGCAAGCGACUAAUCCGUAAUUACUUGCGUAAGUGCGUUAUGUAAGCGGUCUGUCAAAUCUGAUGUGCUCAUCCCCGGGCUCAACCUAUUCAACUGCAUUCACUACUGAGUGAUAGAGUCUUGUAGAGAGAGUAGAGUUGCAGCUGUAGCUGUCUAGUGUAGGAGAGAUCUGGAGGAAUACCGGUGGCGAACGGCGGCCCCGUGGACAAAGACUGACGAUCAUUUGCGACAGCGUGGGGAGCAAACAGGAUUAGAUACCCGGGUAGUACACGCCGUAAACGAUGUCGACUUGGAGGUUGUGCCAGUGAGGCGUGGCAUCGGGAGCUAACGCGUUAAAUCGACCGCGUGGAGAGUACGGCCGCAAGAUUAAAAUUCAAAUGAAUUGACGGGGGCCAGCACAAGCGGUGGAGCACGUGGUUUAGUUCGAUUUAACGAGAAGAACCUUACAUACUGUUCACAUCCAGAGAACUUAGUAGAGAUAAUUUGUUGCAUUCGGGAACUCUGAGACAGGUGCUGCAUGGCAGUUGUCAGAUGGCGUUGUUAAAUGUUGGGUUAAGUCCCGCAACGAGAGCAACCCUUAUCGUUCGUCCCCAGCGGUUAGGCCGGGAAUUCAAAGGAGACUGCCAGUGAUAAAGGGGAGGAAGGUGGGGAGGAGGUCAAGUCAUCAUGGCCCUUACGCGUAGGGCUACACACGUGCUCCAAUGGCGCAUCCAAAGAGAAGCGACCUCGGGAGAGCAAGCGGACCUCAUAAAGUGGGUCGUAGUCCGGAUUGGAGUCUGCAACUCGCCUCCAUGAAGUCGGAAUCGCUAGUAAUCGCGGAUCAGAAUGCCACGGUGAAUACGUUCCCGGGCCUUGUACACACCGCC
rnacentral:rRNA from 1 species